rnacentral:rRNA from 1 species
UACGUAGGGUGCAAGCGUUGCUCGGAAUUACUGGGCGUAAAGGGCGCGUAGGCGGAAUGGCAAGUCGGUCGUGAAAUCCUUCGGCUCAACCGAAGAACGUCGAUCGAAACUGCCGUUCUUGAGGAUUGCAGAGGAGACUGGAAUUCCCGGUGUAGCGGUGAAAUGUGUAGAGAUCGGGAGGAACACCGGUGGCGAAGGCGGGUCUCUGGGCAAUUCCUGACGCUGAGGCGCGAAAGCGUGGGGAGCAAACGGG